rnacentral:rRNA from 1 species
UGAGCAAUCUGCCCUUCUCAUCGGAAUAAGCGUUGGAAACGACGUCUAAUGCCGAAUACGACCUCCUUUCGCAUGAUCGGAGGUGGAAAGCUCCGGCGGAGAAGGAUGAGCUCGCGGCCUAUCAGCUAGUUGGUGUGGGUAAUGGCCCACCAAGGCGACGACGGGUAGCCGGCCUGAGAGGGUGACCGGCCACACUGGGACUGAGACGCGCCCAGACUCCGUACGGGAGCAG